rnacentral:miRNA from 1 species
UCUGUAUUCUCCUUUGCCUGCAG